rnacentral:rRNA from 1 species
AACGAACGCUGGCGGCAUGCCUAACACAUGCAAGUCGAACGAGACCUUCGGGUCUAGUGGCGCACGGGUGCGUAACGCGUGGGAACCUGCCCUUAGGUUCGGAAUAACUCCCCGAAAGGGGUGCUAAUACCGGAUAAUGUCUUCGGACCAAAGAUUUAUCGCCUUUGGAUGGGCCUGCGUUGGAUUAGCUAGUUGGUAGGGUAAAAGCCUACCAAGGCGACGAUCCAUAGCUGGUCUGAGAGGAUGAUCAGCCACACUGGGACUGAGACACGGCCCAGACUCCUACGGGAAGCAGCAGUGGGGAAUAUUGGACAAUGGGCGAAAGCCUGAUCCAGCAAUGCCGCGUGAGUGAUGAAGGCCUUAGGGUUGUAAAGCUCUUUUACCCGGGAUGAUAAUGACAGUACCGGGAGAAUAAGCUCCGGCUAACUCCGUG